UGCUCGAGUGGCGAACGGGUGAGUAACACGUGAGUAACCUGCCCUUGACUUUGGGAUAACUUCAGGAAACUGGGGCUAAUACCGGAUAGGAGCUCCUGCUGCAUGGUGGGGGUUGGAAAGUUUCGGCGGUUGGGGAUGGACUCGCGGCUCAUCAGCUUGUUGGUGGGGUAGUGGCUUACCAAGGCUUUGACGGGUAGCCGGCCUGAGAGGGUGACCGGCCACAUUGGGACUGAGAUACGGCCCAG
rnacentral:rRNA from 1 species